rnacentral:rRNA from 1 species
CCUACGGGUGGCAGCAGUGGGGGAUAUUGCACAAUGGGGGAAACCCUGAUGCAGCAACGCCGCGUGUGGGAAGAAGGUUUUCGGAUUGUAAACCACUGUUCUUGGUGAAGAAAAUGACCGUAACCAAGGAGCAAGCUCCGGCUAAUUACGUGCCAGCAGCCGCGGUAAUACGUAGGGAGCAAGCGUUCACCGGAUUUACUGGGUGUAACGGGUGCGUAGGCGGUCUUGCAAGUCAGACGUGAAAACCACAGGCUCAACCAGUGGACUGCGUUUGACACUGGGGGGCUGGAGUGAAGUAGAGGAAGGCGGAAUUGCCGGUGUAGCGGUGAAAUGCGUAGAGAUCGGGAGGAACACCAGUGGCGAAGGCGGCCUGCUGGGCCUUAACUGACGCUGAGGCACGAAAGCAUGGGUAGCAAACAGGAUUAGAUACCCCAGUAGUC